GGGUCCAAUUGGAGCUAUAGCCUCCAGCCUACGCCAGAGCCACAGCAACACGGAAUCCAAGCCACGUCUGUGACCUACACCACAGCUCAGGGCAACACCAGAUCCUUAACCCACUGAGCAAGGCCAAGGAUCGAACCUGCAACCUCAUAGUUCCUAGUCAGAUUCGUUAACCAUUGAGCCACGACGGGAACUCCGGAGAAUGGUUUUUAAUUUUCUAACAAAUUAAAAUAUCUGCAGAGUUUCAGUGGGUCUUGGAUCGAAUUUAAAAAUCUGUAACAUUUGAUUUCUAGAAAAAGCUACUAAUUUAUGUAAGGAAGGCUGUUUGUUUACUAAUCUAAUUAAGGUACUAAAGGAAGAACAUCAUAUGAUUAUAUUGCUAGAUGUAUAAAUAGUAUUUGAUAAAGUUUAGUACUCAUUAGUGGAAAAAACUCAAUCAACUAGGAAUAUAAAAUAAUUUCCUUAAUCUGAUAGACGAUAUCUACAAAAAAUACUUGGCAGACAUUAUACUUAAUAAUUUGAAAUAGUGAAAAUUUUCUACUUGAGAUUAGGAAUAAGAAUUUCAGGUUGUGACAUUUAUAUUUAACACUGUAUCAAAGAUCUUAACAAGUGCUGUAAGUCAUGAAAAAGAAAAUACAGAAGAAUUAGAUCUGACAUUAUUUAAUAGAUGACAAGACUGGUUAGAGUAAAUGCAAAAGAAUGAACAAAUGAACUAUUAGAUUUAAUAAGUGAAUUGAGCAUGGUCAAUAAGAUAUAAGAUCAGUAUUUAAUACCAAUUGCAUGUCUAUAUUUCAGUGACAAACAACUAGAAAUGACAUUUUUGAAAGUUAUCAACUAAAUAGGGAAAAUGUUAACAUCUUAUAAUAAAUAAAACCCAGCAAGCUUCCAAGAAUAAAUCUAAUAAAAUGUAUGCAGUAUCUCUACAUCAUAAUUUUUCAACAGUAGCACUAUGAAAUUGCCCUGAGUGAAAACCACUACUUUCUACAAAAAAAAAGCAGCAUAGCAUGAACAAGACAAAUUAAAUAGGCCUAAAUAUAGGAAUUUAUGCUGUUAUAGAUUGAAAGAUUCAGUACUAUAAAAAUGUCAGUCCUACAUAAAUUGAUAUAUAGCUUUAAUGUCAUCCCAAUAAAAUGUCUACCUAUUUUGAUCUUUUAGAAAUUAACAAGUUGGUUUUAAAAUUUAUAUGAAAUGCAAAGGAGAAUCAUUUUAGUAACAGAAGAUAAAUUUGAUCUGAGCUGUUAUUCUCACUAGAAAACACUCAGUACAAAGUGCUUUUCCUCCUCUGACAAAAUGAGGGAAAAUCCAAUUUCCUUUGACACCACAGUUUAUCAAAUACUUUUACCUCCCCUUCUCUGUUGACAGUCCCUGCAGUUAGCUUCCUUACUAUAAAGCUCAGAAGCCUUUUUGCAUAGGGACCUUUAGUUGUUUUCACCAUUUAGUCUAGGACCAUAAGUAGCUGAAUUUAAACGUGCUUAAAGUUUUCCCGUAUCAUUAAAGCUCGCACAAAUUAAAGACCACUUGAUCCAACAGACAGAAGAACUGACUUACAACUGUAACUUUAAGAAAGUCAUUCAUCUUUAAUAAAACUAAUAUAGCUCAGUAAGACCAAGAAAUUGAUAAUCUCUGCUUCCAAGAAUUCAAAUGACAAUAAACAAAAUUCACAAAAAGCCUGGCUUUUGAUCUUAUAUUCAUAUCCAGAUGACUCUGUCUUACUCUCAGGAGUUCCUUUCUAAAUAAUUUUUUAUCUCAUCAAACUCCUAAUUUCAAAAUAAAUUUCUGGGUCACUUUCUCAGCCUUCUCAUUCUGAGUUCUCCUCUGUGUAAUCUUGUAAUCCUGCUUAUCUAUCUCUCCUGGAAUAUUGUAGUGUAAGCAGUGGAUUAGGGGAAUUUUAAACUCAAUACAUCUGUAUUCAGUUGGGCUAAGCUGCAGAAGAAACAGAUCCCACUGUCUCAAAACCAAUACAGUGUCUCAAAACCAAUAGAGGUUUAUUGAUUACUCAAGUAACAGUCCAAGGGAAGUAUGUCUAGUUCUCAUAUAUCUCAUCCAUGAACUGAGGCAUCAUCUACUUUUUCUAAGACAGCAUAGUCACUCGCAUUCAAUGGCAGAAGGAGGAAAAAUAUAGGAAAUGUACAGACCUGGAAGUAGUACACAUCACUCUGGUUAUAUUCCCUUGCAUAGAGCUCAGCUGUGUGGUUCACUUAAUGACAGGAGACUCUGGGAAAAUGUAGACCAAGAUAUGUGUCUAGUUGGGUAUCCCAUAUUAAAAGCCUCUAACGUAAGGUUCAAACCAAAUGCAUUCUGUUUCCUGACACCUAUUCCCUUUACUGCAGUCCCUAAUGUAUUUGAUUAUAUCUCCCUCCAUUCAUUCUCUAAAUCCAUAAAAUGUAGAAUCUUCAUUUUACUUCAUUUGAUUAUGGAAUCAAAGGAGGACCAUUCACUGUUCAGCUCUUUGACAGUUAUAGCUCAGCAAUAUGCACAUAGAUCUCUCUCCACUAAAUCACAUUUUUUAAACCAUUUCCCUAGACUAGAUAACAAUAUCUUUUCCAUAAUCUAUCUGGAAAGUCAAACUUGUCUUACCACCAUGUAUGCUCCUUUAUUAAAUAAACUUUCCAGAAUGUAAGCAAUGAGUUUUCAAAAUUUAUAAGUCUGCUAUUGAUGUUCUCUUAAUUGAGUCACAUAAGUUCAGUUUUUAAGGGUUCCCAUUUCCUAUGGAAUGAAAUUCAAUCUCAGUUUGGUGUUGAGUGCCUUUCAUCAUUAGAAUCUCCUUUAUCCAAGAGUGUUCCCUCUUCUCCUUACCCUUCUACACUCCAGAAACAGGAUACUAUCCCUUCCCUCAAAUUAAACAUGCCAUUUUAGGUCUCUUAUUCUUUCCUUCCUCUGCCCCAAAUAGCCUUUUUCUUUGCCCCUUUUCUCAUUUUCCUUCUCUGCCUUCUUGAUAUAGUUGUCCUUAGAUGUAGAACUCAAAUGUUUUAUGUUUUGCAGGGCUUCUCUUUCUGAAUAUCCAUAAUCUCAGUCAAUCAUGCUUUCCUUUUUGCUCCCAAAGGAAAUGUUUAUGGUUGUUUUAUAUCAUUUAUCACUGUGGACUUGCAUUCUAGUUAUAUGUGAAUGUGUCUCUUCCCCUUCACAUAGGAUAGACUGAGACUCCUCAUAGUAGCUUUAGCGCUUCAACUACCUCUGUGUCUCCAGUGUGUGUAUACCAGUUAAAAUACAUGUGGGACUGAAA
rnacentral:lncRNA from 1 species